AGCAACCCGUUUGGUUAUCUUUCUGUGCUGUGGAAGGUUUGUUCUUUCACUCUGCACUAUUUUGCAAUAAAUAUUGCUAUUGCUCACUUUGGGUUUAUAUUGCCUUUAUGAGCUGUAACACUCACCAUGAAGGUCUGCAGCUUUACUCUUGAAGCUUAGCGAGACCACUAACCCACCAGAAGGAAGAAACUCCGGACACGCCGCCUUUAAGAACUGUAAUACUCAGUGCGAGGGUUCACGGCUUCAUUCUUGAGGUUAGUAAGACCAAGAAUCCACAAAUUCCAGACACAACAUGAAAGACAACGAGGAGGGAGCAGCUAGAGGGGUGGAAAUGGGAUCACGUGACCUUGCGAGAAGCAGGGAGAGAGAACACUGCGUCUGCUCCCUUUUAGAACAG
rnacentral:lncRNA from 1 species